rnacentral:rRNA from 1 species
AUUGAACGCUGGCGGCAUGCCUUACACAUGCAAGUCGAACGGCAGCGGACCUUCGGGUGCCGGCGAGUGGCGAACGGGUGAGUAAUGUAUCGGAACGUACCUUUCAGUGGGGGAUAACGUAGCGAAAGUUACGCUAAUACCGCAUAUUCUUGGAGCAGGAAAGCAGGGGAUCGCAAGACCUUGCGCUGAUUGAGCGGCCGAUAUCAGAUUAGCUAGUUGGUGAGGUAAAGGCUCACCAAGGCGACGAUCUGUAGCGGGUCUGGCAGGAUAAUCCGGCACACUGUAACUGAGACACGGUCCAGACUCCUACGGGAGGCAGCAGUGAGGAAUUUUGGGCAAUGGGCGCAAGCCUGGUCCAGCCAUGCCGCGGGAGUGAAGAAGGCCUUCGGGUUGUAAAGCUCUUUCGGCCGGGAAGAAAUCGCAUGGGUUAAUACCCUGUGCGGAUGACGGUACCGGCAUAAGAAGCACCGGCUAACUACGUGCCAGCCGCCGCGGUAAUAC